UAAUAAGUGUUCUACUGCACUUUUUAAAAAUAGUACUCACCUUGUGUGCAAUGUUUGUUGAACUCUCUCUCGGGAGAGUUUGGCACCUACACCAACCUUUUUUAUUUUGAACCACUUUGUCUGAAAAAUAUUAUGAAUACUUAAUUCAAAAUA
rnacentral:misc_RNA from 1 species